rnacentral:lncRNA from 1 species
UGUGUGUUCUGAUGACUUUUAGCUGACUAGUCCUGGGGUAACUCUGUUGUUCCCUGAGAUCUUACAACAGAUAUUUGCAUCAUCGGACACCCUUGAGAUUUAUACUCCAGUUCCCAAAUCAAAACAAGAGAACGAAGCAACUGGGAAUAAAGUUAUGGGUCAUCCUGCAAUAACUGAGGGCCUCCAGGUACUAUGGGAAUUUUGAGAGAAGUUGCAAGCCUGCUCUCAAGUAGCCCGUGGGCUCAGGGUCAGGGAGUCUACAACUGAGAGAUGAAGCUUGGCCAGAUGCAAUGCAGAUGUGAAAAUGUACACAGGGCAUGAAUGCUGCUCAAGUAAUCUCCCACCUGUCAAAACCAAAUUACAAAAGUCAACUGUACUAGGUAAACCAUGCAUGGAAAACGUUUGCAGCACAAGAUUCCCCCAAGAGAUAUCACACGGAGAAAGAGCGGGCUCAGCACCAGCCAGGACGUUCUCAAUGACGCUUCCACAAACGCACAGAGCGACAUGAGACAACGGCUGCAAACAGGUCAGUCAAGGCAGAAGGUGAUUUGGAAGGAAAACUUAGGUUUCUGACUAAUCUCGUCCUCUCAUUACGUAAAUAAGGCCAUACUGCCCAGAGACCAACUGAUUUUUUCAAAGCUUAGGAGGGUGGAUUUCAGGCACGGCUCAGGUGAGGGCGCCUUCUUGACAAGAGGAGAUGGCAGAAAGUUUAAUUCCUGUCCAGUCUGAAAUUCAGUAACUUAACUUACACAAAGAAGAGCAGGUUCCAGGAUUCCCUUAAAAUACACACAUUGCUGUAUCCUCUAUGGGGAUCACGUCUUCGCCUUUUGAAAAAUAUCAUAAGGACGAAUUUGUAAGAAAACGGAGGGAGGCAGAAGGAAGGGACUGCAUUAUGUUCUUAGAAUUGUAUCUACAAAUCAAAUGCACUUUGUUAAAAACUAAUUAAAAUUAAAAUAAUUUUUAAAAAUAUGUACAAAUAAAAAGAAGCAAAACUUGUACCUGGAUAAUAAU